rnacentral:rRNA from 1 species
AUUGAACGCUGGCGGCAUGCCUAACACAUGCAAGUCGAACGGCAGCACGGCAGUAGCAAUACUGUGGGUGGCGAGUGGCGGACGGGUGAGGAAUACGUCGGAAUCUGCCCAGUCGUGGGGGAUAACGUAGCCGAAAGGUUAGCUAAUACCGCAUACGACCGAGAGGUGAAAGCGGGGGGACCGCAAGGCCUCGCGCGAUUGGAUGAGCCGACGUCGGAUUAGCUAGUUGGUGGGGUAAAGGCCCACCAAGGCGACGAUCCGUAGCUGGUCUGAGAGGAUGAUCAGCCACACUGGAACUGAGACACGGUCCAGACUCCUACGGGAGGCAGCAGUGGGGAAUAUUGGACAAUGGGCGCAAGCCUGAUCCAGCAAUGCCGCGUGUGUG